GGAAAAUUGAAUUUAGUUUUUCGUUUGUGGGUCUGUAAUGUUAUAUUUAUUUUCUUCACAUAGCUUUUGGAAUUUUUACUUUCAAAUGGUAUUUUUGGUGCCAUCUGUACAAAGAAAAAGCUAAAUCACGGAUUUAUAUGCAGUACAGCGCUCCAAUUGACAGUGGCUGGGGGAGCAGUUCCUAUUCACCCAUCAAAGUGGAUGCUCACGGAAGCGAAUUUGACUCCAUUUUUUCCGAAUUGACAAGCGCUUCCUCCUGCAUUGCGAGGGGGGAGAUGAUGUAUUGAAAAAUGAUCCAAU